rnacentral:rRNA from 2 species
UAAACUGCUUGGGAAACUGAUAGUCUAGAGUGAGGGAGAGGCAGAUGGAAUUGGUGGUGUAGGGGUAAAAUCCGUAGAUAUCACCAAGAAUACCCAUUGCGAAGGCGAUCUGCUGGAACUCAACUGACGCUAAGGCGCGAAAGCGUGGGGAGCAAACAGGAUUAGAUACCCUGGUAGUCCACGCCCUAAACGAUGUACACUAGUUGUUGGGGUGCUAGUCAUCUCAGUAAUGCAGCUAACGCAUUAAGUGUACCGCCUGGGGAGUACGGUCGCAAGAUUAAAACUCAAAGGAAUAGACGGGGACCCGCACAAGCGGUGGAGCAUGUGGUUUAAUUCGAAGAUACGCGAAGAACCUUACCUGGGCUUGAUAUCCUAAGAACCUUAUAGAGAUAUGAGGGUGCUAGCUUGCUAGAACUUAGAGACAGGUGCUGCACGGCUGUCGUCAGCUCGUGUCGUGAGAUGUUGGGUUAAGUCCCGCAACGAGCGCAACCCACGUAUUUAGUUGCUAACGGUUCGGCCGAGCACUCUAAAUAGACUGCCUUCGUAAGGAGGAGGAAGGUGUGGACGACGUCAAGUCAUCAUGGCCCUUAUGCCCAGGGCGACACACGUGCUACAAUGGCAUAUACAAUGAGACGCAAUACCGCGAGGUGGAGCAAAUCUAUAAAAUAUGUCCCAGUUCGGAUUGUUCUCUGCAACUCGAGAGCAUGAAGCCGGAAUCGCUAGUAAUCGUAGAUCAGCCAUGCUACGGUGAAUACGUUCCCGGGUCUUGUACUCACCGCCCGUCACACCAUGGGAGUUGAUUUCACUCGAAGCCGGAAUACUAAACUAGUU